UUUCCGUAGGUGAACCUGCGGAAGGAUCAUUAAAAAUGAAGCCGGGGAACCGGUCCUUCUAACCCUUGAUUAUCUUAAUUUGUUGCAUUGGUGGGCCGCGCAAGCACCGGCUUCGGCUGGAUCGUGCCCGCCAGAGGACACAACUCUGUAUCAAAUGUCGUCUGAGUACUAUAAAAUAGUUAAAACUUUCAACAACGGAUCUCUUGGUUCUG
rnacentral:misc_RNA from 1 species